rnacentral:rRNA from 1 species
AUUGAACGCUGGCGGCAGGCCUAACACAUGCAAGUCGAGCGGAUGAAGGGAGCUUGCUCCUGGAUUCAGCGGCGGACGGGUGAGUAAUGCCUAGGAAUCUGCCUGGUAGUGGGGGAUAACGUCCGGAAACGGGCGCUAAUACCGCAUACGUCCUGAGGGAGAAAGUGGGGGAUCUUCGGACCUCACGCUAUCAGAUGAGCCUAGGUCGGAUUAGCUAGUUGGUGGGGUAAAGGCCUACCAAGGCGACGAUCCGUAACUGGUCUGAGAGGAUGAUCAGUCACACUGGAACUGAGACACGGUCCAGACUCCUACGGGAGGCAGCAGUGGGGAAUAUUGGACAAUGGGCGAAAGCCUGAUCCAGCCCUGCCGCGUGUGCGAAGAAGGUCUUCGGAUUGUAAAGCACUUUAAGUUGGGAGGAAGGGCAGUAAGUUAAUACCUUGCUGUUUUGACGUUACCAACAGAAUAAGCACCGGCUAACUUCGUG